GUAAACAUAUUGUUCCAUUUGGAAGUUGACGUUUUCCGAGCCCAAAUGGGUGGUGGCUACCAACAUUUUGGUAACAUCUUCCUCUUUGAGGGACAAAAUAUCUAAGCCUCCCGACAUUUUAACGUAUUAAGAACAACUACUUACGUUGUGGAUGCCACUGGGAGCGAUAAUUAAA